rnacentral:lncRNA from 1 species
CGUCGAUGUUGGUGCUGUUCAGUUUCUCCUUCAGCAGGGAGGAGAGGAAGUUCCACACCUUGGACUCCUCCAACUCCCUCAGCUCCUCCUCGCUGCCCACCUGGGUGACGCGGAUCACGCGGUCGCUGUUCACCUGGAUCUGCAUCCUGGUCCAGAUGUCCCUCCAGCACGGGCUGUGCACGUUGGUGUAGCAGAAGUGGUGCGAGGCGGCGCAGCAGCACGCAGAGCCCUCCUGCAGAGCGGUCACCUUCUCCUUAACAUCUUCACAGCGCAGAGCUGCCCCGCCUAGCGGAAGCGGCAGAAGGAGCAGCAGCAGCGCGCCCAGGAGCCGCCGCUGCCCCGGGACCGCUUUCAUCCCUCCCGCCAUGGCGUCUCC